AAGAAACUAACAAGGAUUCCCCUAGUAACGGCGAGUGAAGCGGGAAGAGCUCAAGCUUAAAAUCUCUGUCGCUUGCGACAGCGAAUUGUAGUCUCGAGAGGCACUUUUAAGGUGAGAGUGCUGCGCUCAAGUCGCUUGGAACAGCGCACCGGAGAGGGUGACAGUCCCGUUGUCGGCGCAGUGGUCCACUGACAAUGUGCUUUCUAUGAGUCGGGUUGCUUGGGAAUGCAGCCCAAAAUUGGUGGUAAACUCCAUCUAAAGCUGAAUACUGGCACGAGACCGAUAGCGAACAAGUACCGUGAGGGAAAGAUGAAAAGAACUUUGAAAAGAAAGUUAAACAGUACGUGAAACCGUUAAAAGGGAAGCGCAUGGGAUUAGCAAUUCGUCGGCGAGAUUCAGAUAGUCGCGAGUGUCGACGGACAGUCCGCGGAUCCGAACGGACCGUAGCUGCUCGAAUGGCGCGAACGGCUGUCGCACUUCUGGCUGGCGAGCGUCAACAACUGUUGGCGACGGGCGAAAAGUCUCUCGGAAAGGUAGCGUGUCCCUUCGGGGGUGCGUGUUACAGUCCGGUUGUUCCUAGCUUGUUGUCGACAGAGGCGCUGCAACGCGUGCCCUCGGGCUGGCAACUCCGGACCCAGCUCGCGCGACGUCAUGGUGGACUGCUCGCAGUGCACCUGUGCGGCCGCGAGUCGAUGUACGGAAGUUCGCACACAACGCGUUUCGGUUGUUGGCGAUCAUAUGAUUUCAUGCGACCCGUCUUGAAACACGGACCAGGGAGUCUAACAUGUGCGCAAGUCUUUGGGUGAUCGAAACCCUCGGGCGUAAUGAAAGUGAACGGCGGUUCUCCGCCAAAGUGAGAUCGCUCUCCUCGGAGGGCGCGCAUCAUUGACCGACCUAUUCUACUCCUAGAAAGGUUUGAGUAAGAGCGCAUCUGCUGGGACCCGAAAGAUGGUGAACUAUGCUUGAGUAGGGUGAAGUCAGAAGAAAUUCUGAUGGAAGCCUGUAGCGAUUCUGACGUGCAAAUCGAUCGUA
rnacentral:rRNA from 1 species